GGGAAUGUCGCUUAGUGGUAGAGUGCUUGCCUAGUAUGCAUGAAGCCCUGGGUUCGAUUCCUCAGUACCA
rfam:Dipodomys ordii contig_17961, whole genome shotgun sequence.